rnacentral:tRNA from 1 species
GGAGAGAUGCGAGAGCGGUUGAAUCGGGCGGUCUCGAAAACCGUUGCCCCGCACUCAACCCAUUAGCAAAAGCCACUGAUGGCUCAGGGUUAUUUUAUUUCACCCUGUUGAGUUUAUGCGUUGAGUGCGGGGCCGGGGGUUCGAAUCCCCCUCUCUCCG